rnacentral:rRNA from 1 species
GAUGAACGCUGGCGGCGUGCCUAAUACAUGCAAGUCGAGCGAACAGACGAGGAGCUUGCUCCUCUGACGUUAGCGGCGGACGGGUGAGUAACACGUGGAUAACCUACCUAUAAGACUGGGAUAACUUCGGGAAACCGGAGCUAAUACCGGAUAACAUGUUGAACCGCAUGGUUCAACAGUGAAAGACGGUCUUGCUGUCACUUAUAGAUGGACCCGCGCCGCAUUAGCUAGUUGGUAAGGCAACGGCUUACCAAGGCAACGAUGGGUAGCCGGCCUGAGAGGGUGACCGGCCACAGUGGGACGGAGAUACGGCCCAGACUCCUACGGGAGGCAGCAGUGGGGAAUAUUGCACAAUGGGCGGAAGCCUGAUGCAGCAACGCCGCGUGCGGGAUGACGGCCUUCGGGUUGUAAACCGCUUUCGCCUGUGACGAAGCGUGAGUGACGGUAAUGGGUAAAGAAGCACCGGCUAACUACGUG